rnacentral:rRNA from 1 species
UACGGGGGGCAAGCGUUGUUCGGAAUUACUGGGCGUAAAGGGCUCGUAGGCGGCCAACUAAGUCGGACGUGAAAUCCCUCGGCUUAACCGGGGAACUGCGUCCGAUACUGGAUGGCUUGAGUUCGGGAGAGGGAUGCGGAAUUCCAGGUGUAGCGGUGAAAUGCGUAGAUAUCUGGAGGAACACCGGUGGCGAAGGCGGCAUCCUGGACCGACACUGACGCUGAGGAGCGAAAGCCAGGGGAGCAAACGGG